rnacentral:rRNA from 1 species
CCGGACCUGACUGCUAUCGGAUUGGUACUAAGCCAUGCGAGUCAUUGUAGCAAUACAAGGCGGACGGCUCAGUAACACGUAGUCAACCUAACCUAUGGACGUGGAUAACCUCGGGAAACUGAGAAUAAACCACGAUAGACCAUAAUGCCUGGAAUGGCUUAUGGUUCAAACAAUUUAUUGCCAUAGGAUGGGACUGCGGCCUAUCAGCUUGUUGGUGAGGUAAUGGCCCACCAAGGCAAUAACAGGUACGGGCUCUGAGAGGAGAAGCCCGGAGAUGGGUACUGAGACACGGACCCAGGCCCUAUGGGGCGCAGCAGGCGAGAAACCUUAGCAAUGUGCGAAAGCACGACUAGGUUAAUCCGAGUGGUUCCUGCUAAAGGAACCUUUUGUCAGUCGUAAAACCACAGACGAAUAAGGGGUGGGCAAGUCUGGUGUCAGCCGCCGCGGUAAUACCAGCACCUCGAGUGGUCAGGAGGUUUAUUGGGCCUAAAGCAUCCGUAGCCGGCUACGCAAGUCUUCGGUUAAAUCCAACUGCUCAACAGAUGGGCUGCCGGAGAUACUACAUAGCUAGGGAGCGGGAGAGGCAGACGGUAUUCGGUGGGUAGGGGUAAAAUCCACUGAUCCAUCGAGGACCACCAGUGGCGAAGGCGGUCUGCCAGAACGCGUUCGACGGUGAGGGAUGAAAGCUGGGGGAGCAAACCGGAUUAGAUACCCGGGUAGUCCCAGCUGUAAACGAUGCAAACUCGGUGAUGCGUUGGCUUAUGGGCCAACGCAGUGCCGCAGGGAAGCCGUUAAGUUUGCCGCCUGGGAAGUACGGACGCAAGUCUGAAACUUAAAGGAAUUGGCGGGGAGCACACAAGGGGUGAAGCUGCGGUUCAUUGGAUUCAACGC